rnacentral:rRNA from 1 species
GAUGAACGCUAGCGGCAGGCUUAAUACAUGCAAGUCGAGGGGCAGCACAGUGUAGCAAUACAUGGGUGGCGACCGGCAAACGGGUGCGUAACACGUACACAACUUACCCUUUACUGGGGGAUAGCCCAGGGAAACUUGGAUUAAUACCCCAUAUUGCAGAUGACCGGCAUCGGUUGUUUGCCAAAGUUCCGACGGUAAAGGAUGGGUGUGCGGUUGAUUAGGUAGUUGGCGGGGUAACGCCCACCAAGCCUACGAUCAAUAGCUGAUGUGAGAGCAUGAUCAGCCACACGGGCACUGAGACACGGGCCCGAUCCUACGGGAGGCAGCAGUAAGGAUAUUGGGCAAUGGACGCAAGUCUGACCCAGCCAUGCCGCGUGAAGGAUGAAGGCCCCUCUGGGUUGUAAACUUCUUUUAUCUGGGCGAAAAAAGGGAUUCUUUCUCGUCUGACGGUACCCUAUGAAUAAGCACCGGCUAACCUCCGUG